GGGCUCUAGCGCCGGCGCUGCGCGGGAGUCAUCGCGUGCCGACUUCCGUGUUGUCGCUCUCCCCUCCCAAAAGCGCGGCCGCGAGGACGGGCGCUGCCAGCGAUUUCCUCGGCUUUGUGUCGCGGGGCUGUCCGCUGCGCGUUACUUGGUGCGAUACGCGCAUUCGGCGGUGAUCCCGAGCCCCACGCGAACCUCCCUGUGUCCUUGCUAGUGCCUGGCGCCGUCACUGACGCUGAGGCGUGAACACGGAGUCGGCCCAGAGGGGCUGUUCUCCCGGACGCCGAGGCCACCCCACGCGGCCGCAGGGCCGGGCAGAGGGGAACUGCAGGGAGGCGCGGGCCGCAUGCCUCCCGGAGGUCUGCGAGCUUCUUGAGGCCUCACGCCCCCUUUUGAGCCCCGCUGCUGCCCUGUGGCGCUGCUUCUCCAUCCCUGCGGGUGACCAUCGACGCGUUCCCCUUGCUCGCUUCUUGGUUACGGGCCAGGGGAUACUCCUGCCCGACCCUCGGCAUUGCCCAAGGGAGUUUGCACUUCCCACUGUGCUCUGCCAAGCCUCUGUGGAGAGGAGCCCUCCACCUGCCUGACCGGGCCCAGCUUUGGGGAAGACCUUCUUGGUUUUGUCUGCUGGCUGGACUGACCCUGGCCCUCAGCCCAGGUGAGGCGACCAGCGGCAUGAUGCCCGGGUGGAACAUGGAUUUCUCUCCAGGGUGGCAGAAGAAUGGUUUAGAAGCAGCAGUGGGAUGAGGGAGAAUCCCGACCCCGUCUCAAAAGGGAAGAAACCACAGCGGCACUUCCCACAGAAAUCGGAACUGUGUUGUGAGCCACUAGUAAUCCCUCCUUAGAGGUGGCAGGGAAGAAGAGGAUCAAAGGAAAUGGUAAAUUAACCUGCGAUACGCUGCGUCCGGGAAUAGAAGCUCCCGCUGCGGCUGGCCCACUCCUCAUCCCUGCACCACGGAGGCUCUCCCGGAGGCAUGUCACAACCCCAGCCUGACCACCAAGCUCUGUCCACUGCCCACCACCAACAGCCACCACUUGAGCCUAGACGUGUGCACGCAGCGGCGGCGUCCACCCGGGAGGCAGACCCCAGGAAGAGGCCUGCCGUCUGGGAAGCAGGCUCAGGCCUGUGUGGGCAGCAACCUAGACGGAAGGGGCUAGGUGCUGAGGGGCCAUGUCCCUUGAGCUGGAGGAGGCCACAGCGAGGAACUCUGCAGCAUGGACGUCAGGACAGAGCUCCUGGGUCGGGGCAUUGCUGGCCUGCAACGCAGGAGCGGGUCGGGGGCCCGCACUGGUGAGUACAGCUCCUGCAUUCGUGUGCUAGGGCCACUGUAAGGAGGUGCCACCAACGGGGCGUGAACAGCAGCAGCGUGUGGUCCCACAGUUCUGGAGGCUCCAGCUGUCCACAGGGCUGGUUGGGUCUGAGGCAGUGGUGGGGAACCUGGCCUCUCCUCCACUCUCUGGGGGUUUGCUGGCCGUCUUUGCUGUUCCUUGGCUGGUGGAGGCAGCGCCCCAAUCUCUGCCCGAAUCUUCACAUGGCGUUCUCCCUGCGAGCUGUGUCCAAAUUUCCCGUCUUUAUAAGGACACGGUCACACAGGAUCAGGGGCCCACACUCCCGGGAUGACUCAUCCUAACUUGAUGAAUCACAUCUGCGAAGACCCUAUUUCCAAACAAGGUCACAUUCCGAGGCCCUGGGGGUUAGGCCUUCGACAUAUGAAUUCGAGGGGACACAAUUCGACCCGUAACAGCUUCUGUCUCCCCACACAUCUGAUGUGCUUCUCCCUCUGCCACGCUUAGGCUGGGGUCUCUACCAGGCACCUCGACCCGAGUCCUCACUCAGGCCGGCUCUGAGCCUCACAGCUCUGUCUGUGGGAGCUGCCCUAGUUUUCCACGGACCUUUAUUAGGUGACGUGGGAAUAUCGAGCAGUGCCCCAGAAUCCCUGGGUUUUGACACAGUGCUUCCUCCUCACCUGAGGCAGCAUUCCCACCUUCCUGCAGGGAUCUCUCCGAAGAGAUUCCUCUGCAGAGAUCUCUGGCCCGUGGAGCUCCCUUCUCCAGUGGUCAGCUCGGCAGCGAGCGGCCCCACAUGGCCAGAGGGCAUCUCUGCUCCUGUGUUUGGGAAGCAGAUCCACAUUCCCCAGAGGACCGGGAGCCAGGACUGCCACUCCUGCGACCCCACCUUACCAGAGUGGGAAAGAAAAAUCCCUCCAUAGCCGAUUAGCUGUCACGGCCACUCUGUGUAAGGACUGCAGAGGCGUGGCAAGGCCGUGACUGGCGUCCGUCCACAGAAGCCCUCUCACAGGCAUGGCCACCUCCAGUUCCGCAUUCUGGCGGUGGGGAAUCGGCCUCCUAGGUCGGUCCCAGGUUAGAAGCCUGUUCUGCCCCCCACAGGCCCGCAUCUCAGUGUUAAGGGGUGCAGUCUCCCCGCUACGACCAUUCCACCAGUCUGUUAGGCCUCCUGCUUCUAGGUGAAGGGCGUGGAGUGAGACCAGUGGAACUGAUGGACACAAGCUUAUCGCCACACUGGUUUUCCUCUGAAACAAGGCCCUGGAUUACAAGUGUCAUUUGUGGAAUCCCAAGGCAGCGAAGGAGGCCAAGGAUGGCAUGCUGGCGGGAGAAGCCUGCGAGGACCCGUCCCUUUGAGGAUCCAUCCCUGCAAGGACUGGCUCUCGACAAAAGGCAUGCCGUGUGCUCUGCCUGCUUCCUGGAGGCUGGCUGCCCUCCCCACAGGGGGUGGUGCCAGAUCAGGGCUCAGACACCAUCCUCGCUGUUGGAAAGAUGGGCGCCCAGCUGUCCAUGCUGCUGGAAGGGUCUGGUGGGGGUGAAUAGGCUACGGAGCCUGUGUGGCCACCAUGCCUGUGGCCUCAGCCACUUUGUGCAAAGGACUGCAGAGGCGUGGCAAGGCCAUGACAUGUCUGUCCACCGAAGGCCUCCCUGGUUUUGAGCCCCUCCUCUGCAGGGAAUGCUUCCAGCAUUUUCGUGGAUUACAAAUGUCUUAGCCCCUGCCCUUUCAAGCAGUUCCUUAGCUCCCCUCCCCAGUCCACAGAGCCAUCUCCUGCCUGUGAGUUAGGCCUAAUCAACGUAAAUCUGUCCUCCAGGCCCUCCCUUCCCUCCAGGUGAGGUGCGCAACCAGAGGUGCUGCUGGACGUUUGACAAUACAAAAGGCCAGGCGUGGUGGCUCAUGCCUGUAAUCCCAGCACUUUGUGAGGCCGAGGUGGGUGGAUCCCAAGGUCAGGAGUUCAAGACCAGCCUGGCCAAGAUGGUAAAACCCUGUGUCUACUAAAAAUACAAAAAUUAGCCAGGCGUGGUGACGGGCACCUGUAAUCCCAGCUACUCAGGAGGCUGAGGCAGGAGAAUCGCUUGAACCUGGGAGGUGGAAGUUUCAGUGAGCCGAGGUGGUGCCAGUGCACCCCAGCCUGGGUGACAGAGCGAGACUCCUGUCUCAAAAAAAAAAAAAAAAGAAGAAGAAGAAUACAAAAAUUAGCUGGGCAUGGGGGCAUGUGCCUGUAGUCCCAACUAUUCACUGGGAGGUUGUAUUAGUCCAUUUUCAUGCUGCUGAUAAAGACGUAUGUGAGACUGGGCAAUUUACAAAAGAAA